UACGUAGGGUGCGAGCGUUAAUCGGAAUUACUGGGCGUAAAGCGUGCGCAGGCGGUUGGCCAAGUCAGCUGUGAAAGCCCCGGGCUCAACCUGGGAAUGGCGGUUGAAACUAGUUGACUAGAAUCUGGCAGAGGGGGGUGGAAUUCCACGUGUAGCAGUGAAAUGCGUAGAGAUGUGGAGGAACACCGAUGGCGAAGGCAGCCCCCUGGGCUGAGAUUGACGCUCAGGCACGAAAGCGUGGGGAGCAAACAGG
rnacentral:rRNA from 1 species